AAGUGUGUCGGAGAACUACGGUGGCCUUCAGGUAAUGCAAAAACUUAAAAAGGCUCUCUCUAGAGCCAGCGUUUGGUUUGUCAAUUCUGGCUACUGUGGAAACAUGAUGGAGCAACAUGGCAGACUCCGUGAAGAGGACCCGCUCCCUAUAGAGUGCUGCAGGGAUGAC